GGGGACGGUCCUGCCGGGAGGAGGCGGAGGCAGGACAGGGUGGGGUUGCGGGCCCGGCGCCGCCCCUCCCGGCUCCUGGCUCCCCUCGCCUGGUGUCCCGCGCCUGGCCGGGAGGCGGCGGGUCUCGAUCGCGCGGGCCUCCCUGGAGGGGCGCGGGCUCUGGCGGCGGGGCCGGACCCUGCUCAGCGCAAUGGCGGGCUUGCAUCCUUGGGUGAUUUUUUCGGGCCCCUUGUGGCCUUUGCUCACGCCUGGAGAGCAAACCACCCGCACCACCCAGGAGCAGAUAAAAUCGAGACCACAGUUCUCCAAGGGAGCGCGCCUCCAUCCUGUUUGCCCCUCGGGUCGCCGUCUGAGGGCGGGCCCGUGCCCGCUCAGAGCCUACAUCCGAGUCGUAUAAAGCGCUGACAGCAGAGAAAGCUGCGGCUUUGCUCCGUGCAGAUGAGCAGGGGCUGAGGGAGGACGCUGUGCUCUCAGUAGCCGCGACCUAUCCAGCUGCUCUGCACUGGGCCCCUGACAUCCCAGAAAUCAGUACAUCUGUCUUCUGGGGUCCAAGAGGUAUUUCAGUUUCUCUGGCUUUGUUUCCCGUCAUUUGUACCUGGCCCUGCAGACUACCCCAGUAUUUCCAUCAUAAUACCCCUGUGGGCAGGUGCAUACCUCAUGACAAUAUUUAAUAUUAAUAGAUUUCUGUGUUGUCUCCAGAAUGGAAAGGGGCUAUCUAUUCCUUGAGCUAGUUGGCUUGCUGAAGACUAUUGACUUCAUUCUUCUUUUCCUAUCUACCUAAUAAACCAGUGUUAAUACAA
rnacentral:lncRNA from 1 species